rnacentral:rRNA from 1 species
GCACCGCUGACGAGUGGCGAACGGGUGAGUAAUGCGUCGGAAUGUACCGUGUAAUGGGGGAUAGCUCGGCGAAAGCCGGAUUAAUACCGCAUACGCCCUGAGGGGGAAAGCGGGGGAUCGAAAGACCUCGCGUUAUACGAGCAGCCGACGUCUGAUUAGCUAGUUGGUGAGGUAAGAGCUCACCAAGGCGACGAUCAGUAGCGGGUCUGAGAGGAUGAUCCGCCACACUGGGACUGAGACACGGCCCAGACUCCUACGGGAGGCAGCAGUGGGGAAUUUUGGACAAUGGGGGCAACCCUGAUCCAGCCAUGCCGCGUGUCUGAAGAAGGCCUUCGGGUUGUAAAGGACUUUUGUCAGGGAGGAAAUCCCGCUGGUUAAUACCCGGCGGGGAUGACAGUACCUGAAGAAUAAGCACCGGCUAACUACGUGCCAGCAGCCGCGGUAAUACGUAGGGUGCGAGCGUUAAUCGGAAUUACUGGGCGUAAAGCGUGCGCAGGCGGUUGUGCAAGUCUGAUGUGAAAGCCCCGGGCUUAACCUGGGAACGGCAUUGGAGACUGCACAGCUAGAGUGCGUCAGAGGGGGGUAGAAUUCCACGUGUAGCAGUGAAAUGCGUAGAGAUGUGGAGGAAUACCGAUGGCGAAGGCAGCCCCCUGGGAUG